rnacentral:tRNA from 1 species
UUCCAUUCCAUUACAGAAACCUUUUAAGUGAAAUAGUCAAUGGUGUAAAUUACAUUUUCCGUAAGCCUAUUCAGGA